CAAAUAACGCUGAAAACACCGGUUCUCGUUUGAUCACCGAAGUUAAGCAACGUCCAGCUCGGUUAGUACUUAGAUGGGGGAUCUCUUGGGAACAUCGAGUACUGUA